rnacentral:lncRNA from 1 species
CUUAUAUAGAUAGGUUUUAUAGGGUUUCGGUCUUGGAGCCUGAGAUUUUAAACAUUUCGUCAAUUCUGGCAUAUCUCUCCCACCAAGUGUACUAAAUGUUGUCAAGGAUGUUGUUAUGAUCCUCGAGGGGGACAUUUAGAGCAGAUAAAAAAUAAGUCUUUGAUAUUAUAGACAAGAUUGUGUUUGAAGUUAAGUGUAAUAAGACAAUUAAACGUUCUGUUAUUAAUGGCUUGAGUACCC